GCUCUUUUAGUUAAGUGGUAUAACGGUUGACUCGUAAUCAACUAUCGCAAGUUCGAUCCUUGUAAAGAGCACCA
rnacentral:tRNA from 1 species